rnacentral:lncRNA from 1 species
UUGGAUGAUAAGCUGAACCUGAUGGUUGAUGCUUGUGCACACCAAACGUUCUCCCUUACUAACCAAAACAAAAAAUUAGGCAAUGGUCUCGACUGGUAGGCACAAGUAAAUGGCGACGCAGGUUUACACAAAGUUAUGAGUGGUACCGCCAUCGAGGAGGAUUUGAAUCGAUUUGUCGUGUACUUGUUCCAUGAAGCAGAGAGUCGUCAUUGAACAACCUCUCCCCAAGGCAUUGCAAGAAAUGGCUGG